UGAACAGCUUACGAAUGGUUUCAAGCACUUCUUUCUAGAAGUUCAUCCGGAAAAUGAUGUUUUAAUGCAAUUGAGGAAAGACAACCUGAAAGAAAUUGUCGAUCAACAUAAUAUGAUCAUAAAGUAAAACAUUGAAUAUAUUUAUUAUUAGAAUAACGUUUGCGGACAACAUUUGACUUUUGUAUAGUAGUAGUAAAUUAAUUUUUGAAAAUCAGAAAAUCAUGAAAAACAUUAAGAAAAAGUCGCAAAUGUAAGAGUUACAUGUUUGUCCUCUUCAGCCUACAAUACAUCAAAGAAUUCCACCUGAUUAUGAGCUACGUUAUGCUUUACAUGUCAUUCGCUACAGAAAUACUUCUUUUCUGUGUUGGUGGGACAAUAUCUCACGAUAAAUUGGAAAGUGUAGGAAACGAUGCGUAUGAAGUCGACUGGUAAUUAACAGAACAAUCACAACUACGCAAAGAUCUUUGUUUCAUUAUUCAAAGAUCUCAGCAUAUAAAAACUCUUCGAGUUGGAAACUUGUCUAAUUUAAAUUUGGUUUUAUUUGUAACGAUUCUCAAAACAUCAGUAUCAAUGUAUACUUUAAUUAAUCACUUAUUUACGUCGUAAAUGUUCAAACUAAUAAAUAUUAUUAUAUCUAA